rnacentral:antisense_RNA from 1 species
AUUUUUUUUUUUCUUAUCAUCACUAACAUUUGUAUCAUCCGAGUAAGUA